AAGCAGGUAUAUAUAUAUAUGUGUGCAGAUGAGUUAUAUGCCUGAGAUGAUGUAUUGAUAUAUAUUGUCCAGGUUCAUUAUGUGACAGAUUAUGUGAUUGCUGCUCUGACAUGUAGUGUUGUUGUAUGUAUUGAGAUAAUCCUGACAGGUCACUAUAGAAAAAGUGAUCAUUUUGUGCAUGUAUUAUGCCAAAUUUUUCAAGAUUUAUUGAUGAUUGAUAGGUAGUAGGGUUCUACGUGGUGGCUGGUGGCCUUGUGCCUACCCGCACCCUAGGACCGUCGCGGCGGCCCGCCGGGAACGGGGCGGGGGUCGU
rnacentral:lncRNA from 1 species